CGUUUAAUAGUUUGUAAGUUAUUCGAUUGUCGACACGAUACGGUUAUCGGUGUAUCGUGGUGUUGGAUCGAAAUAUCCGAUAACGUAGUAUCCGUAGAUUUAUACAUCUGAACGGAGUGUUUCAAUUGGCCGUCCGCGGUGUUCAAAUUCGCUCUCUCUCUCACACUGCGCUUUAUUAUCGGUCUAUCUCUCUUGACGCGAACGAUCCGUCUAGAUGCACAAGUCUACGGUGGCAUUCGACAUUUUUAAAUAUAUAAAUAGGUGGGUACUGAAACAGUUUAUUAAUGUUGUUAGCACAAAACAGAUUUACACGCUAAUGCGGUAGGAAUAGUAGUCGCGCGGGAAAUUUUAGGAAAAAAUCGAAAAAAAAAAAAAAAAAACAAAACAAAUUUAUCGCACAAUAAUAUUCAAUAUUGUCUCUCGGUUAGGUAGAGCGUUAUUUCGUUUGCCGUCUCGUCAAUACGCGUUUACAAGUAGGUAACCUAUGUGUGUAUGCACGUUGUUCUCUUAAAAUAAACCGCUGCAGUGUCGCGCACUGAAAAUUGUGCGAGCGAUGGCAAAUGGGACGGCCCGGUGUGCCCAGGACUGGCUUGGAAAAUAUAGAGGCCCGUUUUGCGGGGCCUCAAUAAGUCUCGGAUCCGGAACGUGUUCUGUUUGUCCACCCUCCAGCACCGAGCGUAGGCGGUUCUUUGCAAUACGAUUGUACCUCGUUUCGUUAGUCGCUUAAUGUUAGUUUUCCUAAAUAACCAUUCGGAAUUGCCGUCCAGCUACGAUUGCGUCUAGACGCGUGACCCAUAAAAGCACGGGCGAGAGGGAAG